rnacentral:rRNA from 1 species
AUUGAACGCUGGCGGCAGGCCUAACACAUGCAAGUCGAGCGGUAGCACAGAGAGCUUGCUCUCGGGUGACGAGCGGCGGACGGGUGAGUAAUGUCUGGGAAACUGCCUGAUGGAGGGGGAUAACUACUGGAAACGGUAGCUAAUACCGCAUAACGUCGCAAGACCAAAGUGGGGGACCUUCGGGCCUCAUGCCAUCAGAUGUGCCCAGAUGGGAUUAGCUUGUAGGUGAGGUAACGGCUCACCUAGGCGACGAUCCCUAGCUGGUCUGAGAGGAUGACCAGCCUCACUGGAACUGAGACACGGUCCAGACUCCUACGGGAGGCAGCAGUGGGGAAUAUUGCACAAUGGGCGCAAGCCUGAUGCAGCCAUGCCGCGUGUAUGAAGAAGGCCUUCGGGUUGUAAAGUACUUUCAGCGAGGAGGAAGGCGACAAGGUUAAUAACCUUGUCGAUUGACGUUACUCGCAGAAGAAGCACCGGCUAACUCCGUGCCAGCAGCCGCGGUAA